rnacentral:rRNA from 1 species
AACGAACGCUGGCGGCAUGCCUAACACAUGCAAGUCGAACGAGACCUUCGGGUCUAGUGGCGCACGGGUGCGUAACGCGUGGGAACCUGCCCUUAGGUUCGGAAUAACUCCCCGAAAGGGGUGCUAAUACCGGAUAAUGUCUUCGGACCAAAGAUUUAUCGCCUUUGGAUGGGCCCGCGUUGGAUUAGCUAGUUGGUAGGGUAAAAGCCUACCAAGGCGACGAUCCAUAGCUGGUCUGAGAGGAUGAUCAGCCACACUGGGACUGAGACACGGCCCAGACUCCUACGGGAGGCAGCAGUGGGGAAUAUUGGACAAUGGGCGAAAGCCUGAUCCAGCAAUGCCGCGUGAGUGAUGAAGGCCUUAGGGUUGUAAAGCUCUUUUACCCGGGAUGAUAAUGACAGAACCGGGAGAAUAAGCGCCGGCUAACUCCGUG